rnacentral:rRNA from 1 species
UACGGAGGGUGCGAGCGUUGUCCGGAAUCAUUGGGCGUAAAGGGCGCGUAGGUGGCGGGACAAGCGUGCGGUGAAAGCUCGGGGCUCAACCCCGAGUCGGCCGUGCGAACUGUUUUGCUGGAGCACUGUAGAGGCAGGCGGAAUUCCGGGUGUAGCGGUGGAAUGCGUAGAGAUCCGGAAGAACACCGGUGGCGAAGGCGGCCUGCUGGGCUGUUGCUGACGCUGAGGCGCGACAGCGUGGGGAGCAAACAGG